GACGAACGCUGGCGGCGUGCUUAACACAUGCAAGUCGAACGGAAAGGCCCUGCUUUUGUGGGGUGCUCGAGUGGCGAACGGGUGAGUAACACGUGAGUAACCUGCCCUUGACUUUGGGAUAACUUCAGGAAACUGGGGCUAAUACCGGAUAGGAGCUCCUGCUGCAUGGUGGGGGUUGGAAAGUUUCGGCGGUUGGGGAUGGACUCGCGGCUUAUCAGCUUGUUGGUGGGGUAGUGGCUUACCAAGGCUUUGACGGGUAGCCGGCCUGAGAGGGUGACCGGCCACAUUGGGACUGAGAUACGGCCCAGACUCCUACGGGAGGCAGCAGUGGGGAAUAUUGCACAAUGGGCGGAAGCCUGAUGCAGCAACGCCGCGUGCGGGAUGCCGGCCUUCGGGUUGUAAACCGCUUUCGCCUGUGACGAAGCGUGAGUGACGGUAAUGGGUAAAGAAGCACCGGCUAACUACGUGCCAGCAGCCGCGGUGAUACGUAGGGUGCGAGCGUUGUCCGGAUUUAUUGGGCGUAAAGGGCUCGUAGGUGGUUGAUCGCGUCGGAAGUGUAAUCUUGGGGCUUAACCCUGAGCGUGCUUUCGAUACGGGUUGACUUGAGGAAGGUAGGGGAGAAUGGAAUUCCUGGUGGAGCGGUGGAAUGCGCAGAUAUCAGGAGGAACACCAGUGGCGAAGGCGGUUCUCUGGGCCUUUCCUGACGCUGAGGAGCGAAAGCGUGGGGAGCGAACAGGCUUAGAUACCCUGGUAGUCCACGCUGUAAACGGUGGGUACUAGGUGUGGGGUCCAUUCCACGGGUUCCGUGCCGUAGCUAACGCUUUAAGUACCCCGCCUGGGGAGUACGGCCGCAAGGCUAAAACUCAAAGGAAUUGACGGGGCCCCGCACAAGCGGCGGAGCAUGCGGAUUAAUUCGAUGCAACGCGUAGAACCUUACCUGGGUUUGACAUGGAUCGGGAGUGCUCAGAGAUGGGUGUGCCUCUUUUGGGGUCGGUUCACAGGUGGUGCAUGGCUGUCGUCAGCUCGUGUCGUGAGAUGUUGGGUUAAGUCCCGCAACGAGCGCAACCCUUGUUCACUGUUGCCAGCACGUUAUGGUGGGGACUCAGUGGAGACCGCCGGGGUCAACUCGGAGGAAGGUGGGGAUGACGUCAAGUCAUCAUGCCCCUUAUGUCCAGGGCUUCACGCAUGCUACAAUGGCUGGUACAGAGAGUGGCGAGCCUGUGAGGGUGAGCGAAUCUCGGAAAGCCGGUCUCAGUUCGGAUUGGGGUCUGCAACUCGACCUCAUGAAGUCGGAGUCGCUAGUAAUCGCAGAUCAGCAACGCUGCGGUGAAUACGUUCCCGGGGCU
rnacentral:rRNA from 1 species